rnacentral:rRNA from 1 species
GUUACUUCGGUACAUCGGUGACAGGUGGUGCAUGGUUGUCGUCAGCUCGUGUCGUGAGAUGUUGGGUUAAGUCCCGCAACGAGCGCAACCCUCGACCUUAGUUGCCAGCAUUCAGUUGGGCACUCUAAGGUGACUGCCGGCUAAAAGUCGGAGGAAGGUGGGGAUGACGUCAAAUCAUCAUGCCCCUUAUGACCUGGGCUACACACGUGCUACAAUGGGCGGUACAAAGGGUCGCGAACCCGCGAGGGGGAGCCAAUCCCAAAAAGCCGCUCUCAGUUCGGAUUGCAGGCUGCAACUCGCCUGCAUGAAGCCGGAAUCGCUAGUAAUCGCGGAUCAGCAUGCCGCGGUGAAUACGUUCCCGGGCCUU